UACGUAGGGCGCGAGCGUUGUCCGGAAUUAUUGGGCGUAAAGAGCUCGUAGGCGGCCUGUUGCGUCCGCUGUGAAAUCCCGGGGCUCAACCCCGGGCUUGCAGUGGAUACGGGCUGGCUAGAGGCAGGCAGGGGAGAACGGAAUUCCCGGUGUAGCGGUGAAAUGCGCAGAUAUCGGGAGGAACACCGGUGGCGAAGGCGGGUCUCUGGGCAGUAACUGACGCUGAGGAGCGAAAGCGUGGGGAGCGAACAGG
rnacentral:rRNA from 1 species